GCGCGGGUGGUGUAAGGCGAACAUCGCUGCCCGGAAAGCAGAAGAUGCGGGUUCGAGUCCCGCCUGGCGCA
rfam:Heligmosomoides polygyrus genome assembly, scaffold: HPBE_scaffold0003349